GACGAACGCUGGCGGCGUGCCUAAUACAUGCAAGUGGAACGCAUUGAUAUCACCGGAGCUUGCUCCACCGAUAUUAAUGAGUCGCGAACGGGUGAGUAACGCGUAGGUAACCUGCCUGAUAGCGGGGGAUAACUAUUGGAAACGAUAGCUAAUACCGCAUGAGAGUGUUUAACACAUGUUAGAGACUUAAAAGAUACCAUUGUAUCACUAUCAGAUGGACCUGCGUUGUAUUAGCUAGUUGGUAGGGUAGCGGCCUACCAAGGCACUGAUACAUAGCCGACCUGAGAGGGUGAUCGGCCACACUGGGACUGAGACACGGCCCAGACUCCUACGGGAGCAGCAGUAGGGAAUCUUCGGCAAUGGACGAAAGUCUGACCGAGCAACGCCGCGUGAGUGAAGAAGGUUUUCGGAUCGUAAAGCUCUGUUGUAGCGGAAGAACGAGUGUAAGAGGGAAAGUUUACACAGGACGGUACGC
rnacentral:rRNA from 1 species